AGUAAGAGAGUGAAUUCUGUUUUCUCUUCCCACUCAGUGUGGUAUAGAAGCUGGUGCAUGGGGAGCUUGGCACAGCUCGUUCUGUUCUCAUGAGCAGCCUGGAUUUCCACUUAACGCUCUCUGGUGGAGAACCAAGGUCCUGGAGAGCAAGCCCGUCCAUGACUGUUGAGGUGUUUGACGCAGAAACGAAGGCAUCGGAACUGCUUGCGUCAGCUUCGUGUUUUUAUAAUCGUUUGGAUAUUUUCAUCUGGAUGGGCUUGUGUGGGUCCUAAUUGUAGAGACCUCUUAAAUAAAGGCAUCAAGAGUCGGC
rnacentral:lncRNA from 1 species